UACGAAGGGGGCUAGCGUUGUUCGGAAUUACUGGGCGUAAAGCGUAUGCAGGCGGAUCGUUAAGUCGGGGGUGAAAUCCCGAGGCUCAACCUCGGAACUGCCUUCGAUACUGGAAGUCUUGAGUCCGGGAGAGGUGAGUGGAACUCCGAGUGUAGAGGUGAAAUUCGUAGAUAUUCGGAAGAACACCAGUGGCGAAGGCGGCUCACUGGCCCGGUACUGACGCUGAGAUACGAAAGCGUGGGGAGCAAACAGG
rnacentral:rRNA from 1 species